rnacentral:rRNA from 1 species
UACGUAGGGUGCAAGCGUUGUCCGGAAUUAUUGGGCGUAAAGAGCUCGUAGGCGGUUCGUCGCGUCGGCUGUGAAAACUCGGGGCUCAACUCCGAGCCUGCAGUCGAUACGGGCAGACUAGAGUGCUGUAGGGGAGACUGGAAUUCCUGGUGUAGCGGUGAAAUGCGUAGAUAUCGGGAGGAACACCUGUGGCGAAGGCGGCCCCCUGGUUGGAUACGUGACGCUGAGACGCGAAAGCGUGGGGAGCAAACAGG